rnacentral:rRNA from 1 species
AGAGUUUGAUCAUGGCUCAGAAUGAACGUUGGCGGCGUGGAUUAGGCAUGCAAGUCGUGCGGCAGCAGGCCCCGCAAGGGGUGCUGGCGAGCGGCGAAAGGGAGAGUAACACGCGGGUACCUACCCUCAGGCCCGGGAUAGCUGCGGGAAACUGCAAUUAAUACCGGAUGAUGUCUCCGGACCAAAGGUGUAAUUCCGCCGGAGGAGGGGCCCACGUCCUAUCAGCUAGUUGGUGAGGUAAUGGCCCACCAAGGCUACGACGGGUACGGGGUGUGAGAGCAUGCCCCCGCUCACUGGGACUGAGACACUGCCCAGACACCUACGGGUGGCUGCAGUCGAGAAUCUUCCGCAAUGGGCGAAAGCCUGACGGAGCGACGCCGCGUGCGGGAUGAAGGCCUUCGGGUUGUAAACCGCUGUCAGUGGGGAGCAAAUGCAUGGGGGUUCUCCCCUAUGCUUGAGCGAUCCGCAGAGGAAGCACAGGCUAAGUUCGUGCCAGCAGCCGCGGUAACACGAACUGUGCAAACGUUAUUCGGAAUCACUGGGCUUAAAGAGUUCGUAGGCGGCACGUUAAGUCAGGUGUGAAAUCCCUCGGCUCAACCGAGGAAUUGCGCCCGAAACUGGCGUGCUUGAGUGAGAUAGAGGUGAGCGGAACUGAUGGUGGAGCGGUGAAAUGCGUUGAUAUCAUCAGGAACACCGGUGGCGAAAGC